CCUAAACCAUUGAUUGAGAAUAGUAGCAUAGUUGCACGUUGUCUUCAGAGAACCGCUGGGGGUGGAAUAGCGGUGGCGAUGUUUAUGUGAAUGGCCUCAAGAGGGUGAUGCAGAAAUUUAGUUCAAGAGUAUGCUAACCGGGAUCUUCGCCCGUUAUCAAGGAAGCGUGUAUGUUAGUACACGGGAUGAGAGGCGUUUUGUACGCAAUUUAGGUGGUACCGCAGAGAUUAAAGUCUUUGUCCUUAUU
rnacentral:ncRNA from 1 species